GAGCAAGUGGAUAACGAGCUGGCGGCUACCGGCUUGGCUGCCUCUGCGGCGCCGGAGAGGACAGUGCGCAACGAAUUUUCGACGUCUCCAGGAAGACAGGGAAUUCUAAAUAUUGACAGAUCUCAAGAUGUUAACAUCUGUCUUUAAACAGCACCCAGAGAACCAAUACCUAAGCAGCUGUGUUAUUUGGAAUUUGUCAGUCACAUCACCACAGAUAUUCGAUACCUUUCUCAAGGAGGCAACAUUCCAGCCGAUAGAUGUUCUAGAGUUGCAGAUUCAACAUGUCUUCAGCUACGAGCUCUUUAGCUGUUAAUUAUUAUCAGAAUCCCACCUCAGUGAGACAAGGCGUUUCCGCUGCCUUGUUGCCAGGAGGAUCUAAAUGUUUGAUGCAUAACUACGGGAAAUUUAAUUUAAUCUGGCUUCACCUGCAUAUGGAUUCAACUUCUUGCUCUUAGGUAACCAAUGCACAAGAAAUGAAGAAACAACCAACGCUUUGCAUGGACGAGAACAGAAAACUGGCUAAAAUGAGUGCAUCUGACUGGUGUACGAAACAGUCUCCCAGUAAUGCGUCCUGAUUCAGCUCCGUCUUCCAUCUCUUAGCCAUCAUGGUACGUUUUACUCAAUAUGAGGAGAUGUUAAAUGAAAGUGAUACCUCUCUACAGCUGUUGCUUCUUGAACAUAAAUGACGAGACAGUCGACGCCUUGCAUUAAGAAGUGUGAAAAACUGCCUAAAGGGAGAGCAUCAUUCUCUGACUGGUGCAAAAAAUAGUCUCCCAGUAAUAUUCCCUGAUCUGGCUCUGGCGUCCUUGUCUGUAGCGUUAGCAAGGAUGAAAUGUGUCCACAACAUGAGCAGGUUCCAGAUGUCUGUUUGUGGGAUGGAGUUCCAUGCGUGUGGCACUUGAUUGCUGAGUACAGGAACAGUUAACCCGGGCUGUGAAUGACGCUGGAGUUACCAUCUGAUGAUGUCCCACAUGUUUUCGAUUGGAGACAGAUCUGGCCACGGUGACAUAUCGACACUCUGUACAGCACGGUGCAUUACAACAGCGAUUUUAAGGACCUAUAAAUGGAAAGGAGGCGGAAGGGGUCAAUGAAAAGGGCAGUUGAACCAGCGAUGAAAGUGUCACCGCUAUUAGAAGCCAAUAGAACUUACGGAAUACCAUUUACGAAUAUGUACCAACGUUAUCAGAAACAAAAAUAUAACACUGCCGGCCGGAGUAGCCGUGCGGUUCUAGGCGCUACAGUCUGGAGCCGAGCGACCGCUACGGUCGCAGUUUGGAAUCCUGCCUCGGGCAUGGAUGUGUGUGAUGCCCUUAGGUUAGUUAGGUUUAAUUAGUUCUAAGUUCUAGGCGACUGAUGACCUCAGAAUUUAAGUCGCACAGUGCUCAGAGCCAUUUGAGCUAAUAUAACAUUAUGAAUAUCACUAACCUUUUACCAAACAAAUGCAUGUGGUAACCGUGUUGGACGCUUAACUAUAUUUUCUAAGGAUUUGGAAAUCUCUCUUUCCAAGAGAAUAAUACAUAUGGGUAAAGGGGAUUUGGACUGACAUAGAAAGAUGUGCGGAUUGCAGCCUUCAUACUAGAUGGCAGGAACAACAUCAAUCACCCCUGGAAAGACAUAGGUGGAAAGGACUGGUGUAUUACAUUCUGAAAUUGAGAAAAUACUUUGUUGAGAAAACCAAAGGGUCUCUCGAAAGCAAGAACAGCCGUAGUAUGUGGAGAGACUGUAAACAGCACUUCUACAUUUUAAAUGAAUUUCUUACAAAUCUCUCCCUGCCUGACAAACCAACUCUUUCCACUUAACAAAAGACGAACGAAGGUCAUUGGAGUGAAAGGAACAAAAGAGUUGCCUUCUUUAACAAUCGCUGAAAGAGGUGAGAACGUUACGGUUGUUGCUUCUUACAACGAAGCAGGUGCGUAUUUAACACUAAUUACUACCUUCAGGGACCAGAGACACAGGUCGGAGCUGACAGUUUACUUGCCCAGUGAGUCCAUUUCAUGCACGAGUGAAAGUGGAUGGAUAAAUUGCAUGGGGGCUUAAUUAUUUAAAUAUGAAAUGCAAAUACUUUUUAAAUUUUUGUCGCUCUAUGUCCGAUUACGAAGUCUCAUAAACGAUUGGCCCUG